UGGCUGUUGCUAUACAAGCCGCGGUGACAUCAUCAGGGAUGUAGAGAAGCCGGAGCUAGCUGCAGGAGCUAGCUGCAGGUCUCGUCAUAGCUGGAGAUACGAGACCCUCUCCUGUCUGUCUGUCUUAUAACCCAAAACAGACAUGUCUGACUUCACAGAGGACCAGAUCAUGGAGUUCAAGGAGGCCUUCCUUUUGUUUGACCGGACGGGUGAGGGGAAGAUCACCUACAGCCAGUGUGGUGAUGUUAUGCGGGCCCUUGGACAGAACCCUGUCAAUGCUGAGGUGCUCAAAGUCCUGGGAAACCCCAAAUUAGAAGAGAUGAACCACAAGAUGCUGGAUUUUGAACAGUUCCUGCCCAUGCUUCAAGCCAUUGCUAAGAACAAGGACCAGGGCUCCUUUGAGGACAUCGUAGAGGGCCUGCGAGUGUUUGACAAGGAGGGAAAUGGUACAGUGAUGGGAGCAGAGCUGCGUCAUGUCCUCACCACACUAGGUGAAAAAAUGACAGAGGAGGAGGUGGAGACUCUUUUAGCGGGACAUGAAGACGCCAAUGGCUGCAUUAACUAUGAAGUCUUUGUCCAUCACAUCAUGUCCGGCUGACCAGAAGGUUUGAGCAAACCCCUGGAAGCCCUCCGCCCUGUUGAUGAUGUAGAACAGCUCAGAAAGUCACCACUGCACAGGGGCCUCUUUUCAUCCAAGCUUGUCCGGAUGGUGAUGAGCGGUUGAGAAGUUCAGACACACACUUCCAACUUUAAUUUUAUUCCUAAAUAUUUUUGUACUGUCUCUUCUAGCCCUUCCAUCCAUGUCAUCCUACCUUCAACAAGUCUGUAUUUUGUUUAUUUAGACGUCUUCAUUUUAUUUCAAAAGUGCCUUUUCUGUCUAAUGUGAUAAUGUGACGAGACCCUUUCAUCUCUUUUUCCAAACAUUAUUCAGCCUCGCAGGCACAAUCGGCAGUAAUAUUCCCUCGAUGAUUUAACCUUUGUCAUCUUUGUCAAUCAACCCCUUGUCAGUCUUAUCGACCUUUUUUUUUUUUUUUUUUUUUGUUGUUAUAAUAAUAAUAAUGUGACAUGUUACACUUAACAGUAU